GCAGAUCGCGGGAGAGCCCAAUCACGGGGCGAGCUGGACCUGGCUGUGAUCAUUUAUAAUCCUUGACUCCUCCGCUCCGCCACUUGUCAAGAUGACAGGGGUCAUCCGUGAAUAACACUUCACGCUGAUGAAUGGCUCUUGCCGGCUUUCGGCUCUGAUGAGGGGUCUGCCCGCCGCCGAUUGAAAACACUAAUGAACUUACUGCGCCAUUUGAAAUUCACACGCACCAACAAAAUGGGGUGUUCUUUCGUCCGAGACCGAAAAGCGCAAAUGACCUUUGGACAGGGAAGGGAGGCAGUAAACACUCAGACUUCCUUACCAGCCCCUGGUGGGCACUGCAGCAGAACAAUUGUCUGCCCCCCAGGUUCAAGCACCUAGGCCUCCGCCCCGCAUCACCUGGCCAGGGGCGGACCCGGGAGUCCUCCGAAGGCUCCACUCCCCACUUUUACUACUCUUCUUUCCUCUCCAUUCUCCCCUCAGAUUAGCGGCCGGACACUGUCCCUGCCUCGAUUUUGUUUGCUGUGGGAGGGAAAAAAAAAGUUUGCUGCUCCUCCCAAGACACUGGCCACUUUCUACUCACUGAAGUUCCCACCGCAGCGCUGGCUCCCGGCUCCCUAGCUCCCGCCCCCUGUCUGCAGGAAAGCCCUCCCCCGGAGCUUCCGAAACUGCUGGAGGUUCCAGAGUUUUGUAGCUCCGAAUGGGCGACCUGAGCCGAACCGCUCUCUGGCUGGGUGGUCGGCGGGAUCCUUCAGGCUCCUUUCGGGUCCGGGACGGGGCGGCGGCAGAGGUGGGGCGUGCGUGCUUGGGGCUGCCGAGUGAGUGCGGCUCCCUGGUGCGCGCCCGAGCAUCUCCCCGCCCUCUCCUGGGACCAGCAGUCUGCCCGUGGAGGGCUAGGAGCCCGCGACCAGGCCUGCCCCGGCCGUCGCCAACCUGUCCUUGGAAGCGUGGCGGAGACUGGUGCGCUCUCAGCCUCGUCGCGCCAGCCGCCUCGCGCCACCCUCCACUUUCAGCUUCAGAGCAGAGGAUUCCGCCGACCUCCACCUGUACCUGUACUCGGCCGUUAGGAAAUCCACUUGCAUUUUUAACUACCGUGCAGAACCAGAAACAGAUCGAGCACUGGGAGAACAAGGACGACGCCUCCUAGGAAAGCCUGAACCUUUAUGUUAGUUUAUCCAAAGUUUGGGCUAGAAGUGAGGAGAAUCCCUAAACUCGAGGUGGUGUGCCCAGACCCACAGCCCGUGUUCCCGAAGUUGCUAAGUGCCCGAGCGCAGCGCGUUAAGUAGAGAAGUCUUGGUAGUAAGCGAACCCGACCCGGCUCUCGGGGCGCUAGUGACGGAAAGCAGCACGCAUAUCUUUGCGGGAAGAAUCUAGAGUCGCCCUGGGAUAGAUCCAUCUCCUUCUGCCACUGAAUUUCACACUUGAAAAAGAUAAGGUCAUGGGGGCGGAUGAAUGAUAUCCCUCACUCAUUUAGCCAUUCUUAUUAUUAUAUAAAAAAAAGGCUUGUCAAUUAUGAAGGUGUGUCCCAGAUAUUACAUGAAGAUCAUGCAAACUACUUGAAAUUUGAAUCCGGACAUGAUCGUAAGGAAACUCUUUCAUAAAGCACUUUUGUGGCCUAGUUCCCACACACACACAAAAGUAUUAGGUCUUUAAAACUUUUCCAAGUAGUAAGUGAGACUCCCUCUUACUGUCUACGAAUACACAAUAAAGAGAUGAGACACUGCCCCAAUCCUAAAGAGGCCAGAACUGAAGUGCUACAUUGUGUGAGUUAGGGGAUGCUUCUUUUUUCCAGCUCUUUUUUCUAGAAUCCUCAUUACAGCUAACGCUGGUAAUAAAGGUAGGAAAACAAUAGAACUCAUAAAACUUAGAAAUGGUAAUAAAUCUUGGCUCCUGUCUCUAGCCCAGUUCCUUCUUACAUGAGAUUCAAAGUUUUUCAGUAUGCAAUGCUGAACGUUCACACUAUGGUUGCAAAAUAGAAAAAAAUACUCUAGAACUCAUUAAUACGGCCCUGCGCACUCUAUGCCAGGCGUCGCUGGUGGACAAAGCGCGCAGGGGUCCUCCUCUACGUCUGCCUGCGCCUGUAAUCCAGGCAGCUUACGUGUGUUAAAUUUGGGUCUCUCUCUGUCUCUCACACAAAGAAGUUCCAUCAUUUGAGGCCGUUAGGAAAAGCUGAUGUUGUGCAGUGCCAAACUACCACACGCUUCCUCCUUCGGAUGAAUCCCUGGAAAGCAGAGAGGCAGCUCGCUACGUGACCAUCAUGCUUUUUACCUCACUGAGCUGUUGUCAAGAGAGGGCGGGGAUGGCGGGCAGCUCACGUCGUGCCCUCCGCAGCAAUAAAAACUGGAGCGGGAGAAGAAAUGCAAGACAUCGCUGUCUGUUUUGCAAGCCUCUGGCCGCUCUCAGCAAACUCUGCCCGGCGCGGCUGGUGACUUUGCGGUGUGAACGCAGCCGGUCGUGCUCGGGAUAAUGGGACCGAGCUGGCGGCAUCGCCCUCCCGUGGGCCCCUCUUGCCACACAGAUGCGCAGCUCUCCAAAAGGAAAAUGUGGCCCAGCAACCCUCGCCUAGCCCUAGUCCUAGGAAUGCAUGCCUGGGGCCUUUGGAAGCCUCUCAAAGGGCUGGGGGGCGGGGGGGAGGGAUAUAAUGGGCCGAACCUCUGGAUUCAUUUUGGGGAAGAGGAGACAGGUUCUUGCCCCACUACUGAGGCAAGGCCAACAGCACCCUGCCCUGCUGCUCCACCGCCUCCCCGCGGGUCAAGUCUCAGCCGAGUGUCGCUGCCCACCUGAAGGUGACACCUGUCCAUUUUAGUCAGCAUCACAUGCGCCUUCCCUUUCUCCCCUUUGGGGUCUGUCCGUUUUCUCCUCCUGUCCUAAAGAGCCAGCUUGGAACUGAAGGGGCCGGGUAGCAGCUGUUUGUGCCUCUUGCCCGUGCAGACUCGAGGGUCUCCGCAGCCACUUCCUCCUUUAACACGCGAGGCUUUCAGGCGUGCAGAAGGGGACCGCCGGGUCAGGCAGGUAUUAGGCUCUCCAAGGACACUUGUGGACAUCACUGGAGUUUACCUAUUGUUUGGACUUUAUUACAUCUGCUUUAGCAAACGGAGGCAUGAGCGGCCUGUCUGCUGGGUUCAAACCCAGUUGCUGCCCCGGCUGCAACCUCUCCCACUCAAGAGACCCUAGGAACGAUGAGGAACGGGGUAGAAAUGACCAGGGGAGCCAAAUCUCAGGUACCGAGACCUUCCAGCUCACCCCUCAGGCUCAGGAAAGCCAAUAACCCACAUAUGCCCAAAAGGAGCUUAUGUCUCAACUGAGAACAGCAAAUAGGUGAUGGGCCACUUUAGAACAGAGGCUAAAGGCUGGUAGCCACUGAGCAAAACCCAAAUUCUAGGCACCUGAGGUGUUUCCCUUACACAAGUGCCUUCACAGGUAGCAAGCAAUUAAUCUGCAACAGUGAACAACACUAAAACUUAAAUUUUACAUGGAAGUCUCUCAAGUAGACAAAGUUAUUAUUGGGUGGGGUUUUCCCCCCACUGGCAAAAAAAUAACUUAUCCCUUGGCUGUUAGAUUGAGGGAACUAUAAAACAAAUAUUUUAAUUCGAUCACUGACAAAGUCAUAAAAUUCAAUGACUGUUUGUAGAGGAAAACAUGCUUUCAUUAUCUUAAUUAAAGCAAGAUAAGCCUCUCUCAAUGUGCAUGCAUUUUGGAGCCACUGAAUGGACUGGUGAUGAGACGAAGCAACCUUUAAUUGGGACCAUGCUUCUCCAGUACAUUCGUUUGUAUUCCAUGGUGUAAACCGGGCCUUACGCGUGGCUCCGACCUUCGGUGGAAAUGCAUUUGCGUAGCACCACCCAGGGGCUCCCUUGCUUUGGCUAGAGCCUCAUAAAAGACCCCAGGUUUUGCGAAGGAUUUUGAACACCAGCGUCUUUUAACAUGUGGAACUUUCGGUUUUGGUUUAGCUCUGUGAACGUAUUUAAAACUUGCUACAUUAUUCCACAGUGAAAGUUGGAACCUUUUUAAGAGUUAUCAUAGAGUGCCUUUUAACAUCUGUCAUAUUUUCUAUAAACAACUUUUCAGUGAGAAGCGUAUAUAGUGUACUCGAGGUAGGCAUUAGCUGCUGGCAAGGUUUAUGAUACAAUAGUGACACUACAGGACAAUUUUUUAGUCAAACAACACCCGUUAGAUAUUUCAGGGUCCAGCUUAUAUGUUAACUUGUAAAUAUAGGUUAAAAAUAUAGGUAUCAAGUGACUAAAUUCAGUAUCAGACAAAUUGAACAUCUUUUUAUUUCCCAGAAGUGCCCUACUCUUUCUCCUCCCUUUGGUGACCUCUUAGUCUGGAAUGCUCUGCAUCCGGGGCCCCUGGAACACAUAGUUUUUAAAGUACCUAUUAGUGAUACUCUCCUCCCGUUGGCAGUGCUUCCACUGUGUUUUCUGCAUGUAAUAAAGGAUGGCACUGUUUUUUGCAUAGGUCUUUCCUAAUAGCUGAGCACUCUUGGAGUGUAGGGGCUCAACCUUAUGCCUCUUUGGACACACAAGCCUAGCCCAUGGGCUGGCAUAUAGGAGCUGCUCAAUAAAUGUUUGUUGAACGAAUGAGUGGAUACACGAAUAAAAUAUUUUCAUUGUCUUUAGCCCCUCUGACUUUCUUUUUUAAACAGGGGUAUGUCAUAAAUAAAAUUUACCUUGAAAAUGCAUUUAAGUACACUGUUCUACUUCUCUGACCAUGAAGUUUUUAAUGGGACAUCGUUUUAAAAUUCUGGUCAUUACAACGAACCACUUUUGACCUUGGUUGACUUUUCUCAGAAUCAUAAUGCGAAGUAAAGACAAAAACAAUGAGAAAAGGCAAAGAGAUCAAAUUUUGGUUUUCUCU
rnacentral:lncRNA from 1 species